UGGCGGACGGGUGAGUAAUGCCUGGGGAGCUGCCCAAUCGAGGGGGAUACCAGUUGGAAACGACUGCUAAUACCGCAUACGCCCUGAGGGGGAAAGGUGGGGAUCUUCGGACCUACCGCGAUUGGAUGCGCCCAGGUGGGAUUAGCUAGUUGGUGAGGUAACGGCUCACCAAGGCGACGAUCUCUAGCUGGUCUGAGAGGAUGACCAGCCACACUGGAACUGAGACACGGUCCAGACUCCUACGGGAGGCAGCAGUGGGGAAUAUUGCACAAUGGGGGAAACCCUGAUGCAGCCAUGCCGCGUGUGUGAAGAAGGCCUUCGGGUUGUAAAGCACUUUCAGUCAGGAGGAAAGGUGGCUAGCUAAUACCUAGUUGCUGUGACGUUACUGACAGAAGAAGCACCGGCUAACUCCGUG
rnacentral:rRNA from 1 species